rnacentral:rRNA from 1 species
GUACACUCCUACGGGAGGCAGCAGUGAGGAAUAUUGGACAAUGGGUGGAAGCCUGAUCCAGCCAUCCCGCGUGCAGGAAGACGGCCCUAUGGGUUGUAAACUGCUUUUAUCUGGGGAUAAACCUACUUACGUGUAAGUAGCUGAAGGUACCAGAAGAAUAAGCACCGGCUAACUCCGUGCCAGCAGCCGCGGUAAUACGGAGGGUGCAAGCGUUAUCCGGAUUUAUUGGGUUUAAAGGGUCCGUAGGCGGACUGAUAAGUCAGUGGUGAAAUCCGACAGCUUAACUGUCGAACUGCCAUUGAUACUGUUAGUCUUGAGUAAGGUUGAAGUGGCUGGAAUAAGUAGUGUAGCGGUGAAAUGCAUAGAUAUUACUUAGAACACCAAUUGCGAAGGCAGGUCACUAAGUCUUAACUGACGCUGAUGGACGAAAGCGUGGGGAGCGAACAGGAUUAGAAACCCUAGUAGUCCCAUGAU